rnacentral:rRNA from 1 species
UACGGGGGGGGCAAGCGUUGUUCGGAAUUACUGGGCGUAAAGGGCUCGUAGGCGGCCAACUAAGUCGGAUGUGAAAGCCCCGGGCUCAACCGAGGACGUGCAUUCGAAACUGGCGAGCUUGAGUAUGGAAGAGGGUCGCGGAAUUCCCGGUGUAGAGGUGAAAUUCGUAGAUAUCGGGAGGAACACCAGUGGCGAAGGCGGCGACCUGGGCCAAUACUGACGCUGAGGUGCGAAAGCGUGGGGAGCAAACAGG